rnacentral:rRNA from 1 species
AAACGAUGCCAACCAGUAAUUCGCCUGAGUUCCUUAAAUGACUCGGCGAGGGACUUCCGGGAAACCAAAGUCUUUCGGUUCCAGGGGAAGUAUGGUUGCAAAGCUGAAACUUAAAGAAAUUGACGGAAGGGCACCACCAGGAGUGGAGCCUGCGGCUUAAUUUGACUCAACACGGGAAAACUCACCCGGCCCGGACACUGGAAGGAUUGACAGAUUGAGAGCUCUUUCUUGAUUCAGUGGGUGGUGGUGCAUGGCCGUUCUUAGUUGGUGGAGUGAUUUGUCUGGUUAAUUCCGAUAACGAACGAGACUCUAGCCUACUAAAUAGAUCGUCGGCUUACAAACGCCGACGAGACUUCUUAGAGGGACAGGCGGCGAUUCAGCCGCACGAAACAGAGCAAUAACAGGUCUGUGAUGCCCUUAGAUGUCCGGGGCCGCACGCGCGCUACACUGAAGUGAUCAGCGUGCUUUUUCAACCUACUCUGUCAAGAGUGGGGAACCCAAUGAACCUUCUUCGUGAUUGGGAUAGGGGAUUGUAAUUAUUCCCCUUGAACGAGGAAUUCCCAGUAAGCGCGAGUCAUAAGCUCGCGUUGAUUACGUCCCUGCCCUUUGUACACACCGCCCGUCGCUACUACCGAUUGAAUGUUUUAGUGAGGUCUUCGGACUGGCCGGUGCAGCUACUCUUGUAGUGGCAGCGCUGUGUUUGGAAAGAUGCC